UUAGCUUGCUAAGGCUGAUGGCGACCGGCGCACGGGUGAGUAACACGUAUCCAACCUGCCGUCUACUCUUGGCCAGCCUUCUGAAAGGAAGAUUAAUCCAGGAUGGGAUCAUGAGUUCACAUGUCCGCAUGAUUAAAGGUAUUUUCCGGUAGACGAUGGGGAUGCGUUCCAUUAGAUAGUAGGCGGGGUAACGGCCCACCUAGUCAACGAUGGAUAGGGGUUCUGAGAGGAAGGUCCCCCACAUUGGAACUGAGACACGGUCCAAACUCCUACGGGAGGCAGCAGUGAGGAAUAUUGGUCAAUAGGCGAUGGCCUGAACCAGCCAAGUAGCGUGAAGGAUGACUGCCCUAUGGGUUGUAAACUUCUUUUAUAAAGGAAUAAAGUCGGGUAUGCAUACCCGUUUGCAUGUACUUUAUGAAUAAGGAUCGGCUAACUCCGUGCCAGCAGCCGCGGUAAUACGGAGGAUCCGAGCGUUAUCCGGAUUUAUUGGGUUUAAAGGGAGCGUAGAUGGAUGUUUAAGUCAGUUGUGAAAGUUUGCGGCUCAACCGUAAAAUUGCAGUUGAUACUGGAUGUCUUGAGUGCAGUUGAGGCAGGCGGAAUUCGUGGUGUAGCGGUGAAAUGCUUAGAUAUCACGAAGAACUCCGAUUGCGAAG
rnacentral:rRNA from 1 species